rnacentral:lncRNA from 1 species
GUGGUAACAUGACAGUGUGUUAUCAGAGGACUGAGACCAGAUGGGGGUGUAAUAGGUGGUGACAUGACAGUGUGUUAUCAGAGGACUGAGACCAGAUGGGGGGUGUAAUAGGUGGUGACAUGACAGUGUGUUAUCAGAGGACUGAGACCAGAUGGGGGGCUGUAAUAGGUGGUAACAUGACAGUGUGUUAUCAGAGGACUGAGACCAGAUGGGGGGCUGUAAUAGGUGGUGACAUGACAGUGUGUUAUCAGAGGACUGAGACCAGAUGGGGGGGUGUAAUAGGUGGUGACAUGACAGUGUGUUAUCAGAGGACUGAGACCAGAUGGGGGGUGUAAUAGGUGGUGACAUGAGGGUGGGUAUAAUUUGUGGAACGUUCCAACAGGAAUCUGUUACAAAAACUCUGUAAAUAUCAAGGUUGCCAACAAACAACAUCAAACAAAGUCGUAUAACGGUAGAAUGAGAUACCGGGUAGAGAGUGAACAAUGUAAUAACGUUUUUCAACCACCACGUUUAUUCUGAAAAAUGUCUCUCUUCGUUCUGGUAGCCUCCACCAUUCCUCGUUCGUUGGUUUAGUUAUUAUUUCCGGUGUUCCUGCAUUCGCCAGGUGAACUCUGUUGCGCCUCAAUUAGGGAAUCGCUAUGGUUGAAAUGUAACUAAUGACUGCCAGCCCCAGUAUUUUAUUAGCUAGGUGGCUUGGACACAAUUGUUACCGAUGAUACUGUAUACACCAGCCUACUCGUACUACAGAAACAUACAUUGUAUUUUGCCAAGUUCUGUCUGUGUUAAUCCUGUUUCCCAAAUAUAUCAGCUUGUGUCUGUGUCGAUGUUGUUUAGUUCAAGGUGCCUAGUUAAAUAAAGAUUAAAUAAAUUAGAACAUAUAAAAUAUAUGCUUUGACCUAUUCCAGGUAACCUAAAGAUGCUUGAUUCACUACAGCUGCUUUUGAAGAACUUUCCAGUCGUUUUUGCUUUACAUUCCGACUUUACAUUCCGACUCUACAUUCCGACUCUACAUUCCGACUCUACAUUCCGACUCUACAUUCCGACUCUACAUUCUGACUCUACAUUCUGACUCUACAUUCUGACUCUACAUUCUGACUCUACAUUCUGACUCUACAUUCUGACUCUACAUUCUGACUCUACAUUCUGACUCUACAUUCCGACUCUACAUUCCGACUCUACAUUCCGACUCUACAUUCCGACUCUACAUUCCGACUCUACAUUCCGACUCUACAUUCUGACUCUACAUUCCGACUCUACAUUCCGACUCUACAUUCUGACUCUACAUUCCGACUCUACAUUCCGACUCUACAUUCUGACUCUACAUUCCGACUCUACAUUCCGACUCUACAUUCUGACUCUACAUUCUGACUCUACAUUACUACUUAACCAACAAUUUCGUUUUAAGAAAAAUGUGUUAAGUAAAAAAUAAGAAAUAAAAGUAACAUAACUAAAGAGCAGCAGUAAAAUCAAAAUAGCGAGGCUCUAUACAUGGGGUACCGGUUAGUCGAGGUAAUUGAGGUGUUCCUUUCAAGUCCAGUGGUGUAAAUUACUUAACAAAAAUGUUUUUAAACUACUCCACUACAUUCCGUUUAUAUAUCUGGUUAUUUUGUAUCUGUACUUUUACUCUUUCUGUUUCUUUACAUUUUACUUCACUACAUUUCUAAAUAAAUUUAUGUAUUUUUUACUCCAUAGAGUUUCCCUGGCAUACAAAAGUACUUGUUUCAUUUCGAAUGCUGAGCCGGACAGGAAAAUGGUCCAAUUCACACACUGAUCAAGACAACAUCCCUGGUCGUCCCUACUGCCUCUGAUCUGGAGGACUCACUAAACAGAGAACAUCCCUGGUCGUCCCUACUGCCUCUGAUCUGGAGGACUCACUAAACAGAGAACAUCCCUGGUCAUCCCUACUGCUUCUGAUCUGGAGGACUCACUAAACAGAGAACAUCCCUGGUCGUCCCUACUGCCUCUGAUCUGGAGGACUCACUAAACAGAGAACAUCCCUGGUCAUCCCUACUGCCUCUGAUCUGGAGGACUCACUAAACAGAGAACAUCCCUGGUCGUCCCUACUGCCUCUGAUCUGGAGGACUCACUAAACAGAGAACAUCCCUGGUCAUCCCUACUGCCUCUGAUCUGGAGGACUCACUAAACAGAGAACAUCCCUGGUCGUCCCUACUGCCUCUGAUCUGGAGGACUCACUAAACAGAGAACAUCCCUGGUCAUCCCUACUGCCUCUGAUCUGGAGGACUCACUAAACAGAGAACAUCCCUGGUCAUCCCUACUGCCUCUGAUCUGGAGGACUCACUAAACAGAGAACAUCCCUGGUCAUCCCUACUGCCUCUGAUCUGGAGGACUCACUAAACAGAGAACAUCCCUGGUCAUCCCUACUGCCUCUGAUCUGGAGGACUCACUAAACAGAGAACAUCCCUGGUCAGCCCUACUGCCUCUGAUCUGGAGGACUCACUAAACAGAGAACAUCCCUGGUCAUCCCUACUGCCUCUGAUCUGGAGGACUCACUAAACAGAGAACAUCCCUGGUCAUCCCUACUGCCUCUGAUCUGGUGGUCUCACUAAACAGAGAACAUCCCUGGUCAUCCCUACUGCUUCUGAUCUGGUGGUCUCACUAAACAGAGAACAUCCCUGGUCAUCCCUACUGCCUCUGAUCUGGAGGAUUCACUAAACAGACCACAUCCCUGGUCGUCCCUACUGCCUCUGAUCUGGAGGACUCACUAAACACAUGCUUCAUUUGUAAAUGAUGUCUGAUUGUUGGAGUGUUCCCCUGGUUAUUUCUUAAAUAAAAUAACAAGAGAAUCGUGCUGUCUGGUUUGCUUAAUAUAUGGAAGGUCAAAUCAUUUAUACUUUUACCACUGAUACUUAAGUAUAUUUUAGCAAUGACGUUUACUUAGUAUUUUACUGGGUGACUUUCACUUUUACUUGAGUCAUUUUCUAUUAACAUCGUCUUAUUAUUGUACCUUUUUCCCUUCAUUUGCCUCCUACUGUCUAUAAGCUGUCAUAACAUGUGGGUUUUUUCAUGGGGACCAGGUAUCAGAACGCCUUUGAAGGGUCUACAAAGCCCCCAGGUAAAAGUAGGCUUUUGCAGACAAGGAUUGUAUUGUUACUCCACGACAUAAUAUGUUAUCACAACUCUAUUAAAAGGACAUUCUACACAA